UGCAGAGGUCUCAAGCGUUGUUCGGAUUCAUUGGGCGUAAAGGGUGCGUCGGCGGCGCGGUAAGUCGGGUGUGAAAUCUCGGAGCUUAACUCCGAAACUGCAUUUGAUACUGCCUUGCUUGAGGACUGGAGAGGAGACUGGAAUUCACGGUGUAGCAGUGAAAUGCGUAGAGAUCGUGAGGAAGACCAGUGGCGAAGGCGGGUCUCUGGACAGUUCCUGACACUGAGGCACGAAGGCCAGGGGAGCAAACGGG
rnacentral:rRNA from 1 species